rnacentral:pre_miRNA from 1 species
CUUGGGGUGGGGGGAGCCUCAGCCCAGAUUGUGAGAGGGAGAAGGCCAGGCUGAGGGACCCCACCGGUGCACG